UGGCUUUCAUUAGAGGUGACCAGUUGACAUAAGGUAAAGUCUACAUUGUGCAGCCCCUAUUGUGUGCGAGGGUUGGCCUCAUUAACCAGCGCUAACAAGCCGUGCAAAUGCUCUGAUUGGGCAGCUUUUAUUGGACAGUGCCAGGCCCUUAGCAGGAUACCCACUUAAUGAGGGUCAGCGCUAGACAAUCGUAACGUAUUCAAGGGGACUUUUUUUACCCCCUAUGCAACGAUGAAGUUGCAGCGAUUUGACCAUUAAAAACAAAUCG
rfam:Xenopus laevis strain J chromosome 5S, whole genome shotgun sequence.